rnacentral:rRNA from 1 species
AUGAACGCUAGCUACAGGCUUAACACAUGCAAGUCGAGGGGCAUCAGGAAGAAAGCUUGCUUUCUUUGCUGGCGACCGGCGCACGGGUGAGUAACACGUAUCCAACCUGCCCUUUACUCGGGGAUAGCCUUUCGAAAGAAAGAUUAAUACCCGAUGGCAUAAUGAUUCCGCAUGGUUUCAUUAUUAAAGGAUUCCGGUAAAGGAUGGGGAUGCGUUCCAUUAGGUUGUUGGUGAGGUAACGGCUCACCAAGCCUUCGAUGGAUAGGGGUUCUGAGAGGAAGGUCCCCCACAUUGGAACUGAGACACGGUCCAAACUCCUACGGGAGGCAGCAGUGAGGAAUAUUGGUCAAUGGGCGCUAGCCUGAACCAGCCAAGUAGCGUGAAGGAUGAAGGCUCUAUGGGUCGUAAACUUCUUUUAUAUAAGAAUAAAGUGCAGUAUGUAUACUGUUUUGUAUGUAUUAUAUGAAUAAGGAUCGGCUAACUCCGUGCCAGCAGCCGCGGUAAUACGGAGGAUCCGAGCGUUAUCCGGAUUUAUUGGGUUUAAAGGGAGCGUAGGUGGACUGGUAAGUCAGUUGUGAAAGUUUGCGGCUCAACCGUAAAAUUGCAGUUGAUACUGUCAGUCUUGAGUACAGUAGAGGUGGGCGGAAUUCGUGGUGUAGCGGUGAAAUGCUUAGAUAUCACGAAGAACUCCGAUUGCGAAGGCAGCUCACUGGACUGCAACUGACACUGAUGCUCGAAAGUGUGGGUAUCAAACAGGAUUAGAUACCCUGGUAGUCCACACAGUAAACGAUGAAUACUCGCUGUUUGCGAUAUACAGUAAGCGGCCAAGCGAAAGCAUUAAGUAUUCCACCUGGGGAGUACGCCGGCAACGGUGAAACUCAAAGGAAUUGACGGGGGCCCGCACAAGCGGAGGAACAUGUGGUUUAAUUCGAUGAUACGCGAGGAACCUUACCCGGGCUUAAAUUGCAGUGGAAUGAUGUGGAAACAUGUCAGUGAGCAAUCACCGCUGUGAAGGUGCUGCAUGGUUGUCGUCAGCUCGUGUCGUGAGAUGUUGGGUUAAGUCCCGCAACGAGCGCAACCCUUAUCUUUAGUUACUAACAGGUUAUGCUGAGGACUCUAGAGAGACUGCCGUCGUAAGAUGUGAGGAAGGUGGGGAUGACGUCAAAUCAGCACGGCCCUUACGUCCGGGGCUACACACGUGUUACAAUGGGGGGUACAGAAGGCAGCUAGCGGGUGACCGUAUGCUAAUCCCAAAAGCCUCUCUCAGUUCGGAUCGAAGUCUGCAACCCGACUUCGUGAAGCUGGAUUCGCUAGUAAUCGCGCAUCAGCCACGGCGCGGUGAAUACGUUCCCGGGCCUUGUACACACCGCCCGUCAAGCCAUGGGAGCCGGGGGUACCUGAAGUACGUAACCGCAAGGAUCGUCCUAGGGUAAAACUGGUGACUGGGGCU